rnacentral:rRNA from 1 species
UGGGGAAUUUUGGACAAUGGGCGAAAGCCUGAUCCAGCAAUGCCGCGUGUGUGAAGAAGGCCUUCGGGUUGUAAAGCACUUUUGUCCGGAAAGAAAUCCUUGGCUCUAAUACAGUCGGGGGAUGACGGUACCGGAAGAAUAAGCACCGGCUAACUACGUGCCAGCAGCCGCGGUAAUACGUAGGGUGCAAGCGUUAAUCGGAAUUACUGGGCGUAAAGCGUGCGCAGGCGGUUUGCUAAGACCGAUGUGAAAUCCCCGGGCUCAACCUGGGAACUGCAUUGGUGACUGGCAGGCUAGAGUAUGGCAGAGGGGGGUAGAAUUCCACGUGUAGCAGUGAAAUGCGUAGAGAUGUGGAGGAAUACCGAUGGCGAAGGCAGCCCCCUGGGCCAAUACUGACGCUCAUGCACGAAAGCGUGGGGAGCAAACAGGAUUAGAUACCCUGGUAGUCCACGCCCUAAACGAUGUCAACUAGUUGUUGGGGAUUCAUUUCCUUAGUAACGUAGCUAACGCGUGAAGUUGACCGCCUGGGGAGUACGGUCGCAAGAUUAAAACUCAAAGGAAUUGACGGGGUCAUAGCUGUU